AGAGUUUGAUCCUGGCUCAGAUUGAACGCUGGCGGCAUGCCUUACACAUGCAAGUCGAACGGUAACGCGGGGCAACCUGGCGACGAGUGGCGAACGGGUGAGUAAUGCAUCGGAACGUGCCCAGUAGUGGGGGAUAGCCCGGCGAAAGCCGGAUUAAUACCGCAUACGACCUACGGGUGAAAGCGGGGACCGCAAGGCCUCGCGCUAUUGGAGCGGCCGAUGUCAGAUUAGGUAGUUGGUGGGUAAAGGCCUACCAAGCCGACGAUCUGUAGCUGGUCUGAGAGGACGACCAGCCACACUGGGACUGAGACACGGCCCAGACUCCUACGGGAGGCAGCAGUGGGGAAUUUUGGACAAUGGGCGCAAGCCUGAUCCAGCCAUGCCGCGUGCGGGAAGAAGGCCUUCGGGUUGUAAACCGCUUUUGUCAGGGAAGAAAUGUCCUGGGUUAAUACCUCGGGAAGAUGACGGUACCUGGAGAAUAAGCACCGGCUAACUACGUG
rnacentral:rRNA from 1 species